rnacentral:rRNA from 1 species
UACGUAGGUGGCAAGCGUUGUCCGGAUUUAUUGGGUUUAAAGGGUGCGUAGGCGGCCCUGUAAGUCAGUGGUGAAAUACUCCAGCUUAACUGGAGGGGUGCCAUUGAUACUGCAGGGCUUGAGUGGAGUCGAAGUAGGCGGAAUUGACGGUGUAGCGGUGAAAUGCUUAGAUAUCGUCAAGAACACCGAUAGUGAAGUCAGCUUACUAGGCUUCUACUGACGCUGAGGCACGAAAGUGUGGGGAUCAAACAGG